rnacentral:rRNA from 1 species
AAAUGGACUCUCAGCAACGGAUAUCUUGGCUC